GGGUUGUGAGGUUAAGCGACUAAGCGUACACGGUGGAUGCCCUGGCAGUCAGAGGCGAUGAAGGGCGUGCUAAUCUGCGAUAAGCGCCGGUAAGGUGAUAUGAACCGUUAUAACCGGCGAUACCCGAAUGGGGAAACCCAGUGUGAUUCGUCACACUAUCAUUAACUGAAUCCAUAGGUUAAUGAGGCGAACCGGGGGAACUGAAACAUCUAAGUACCCCGAGGAAAAGAAAUCAACCGAGAUUCCCCCAGUAGCGGCGAGCGAACGGGGAGGAGCCCAGAGCCUGAAUCAGCAUGUGUGUUAGUGGAAGCGUCUGGAAAGGCGCGCGAUACAGGGUGACAGCCCCGUACACAAAAGCGCAUGUGCUGUGAGCUCGAUGAGUAGGGCGGGACACGUGGUAUCCUGUCUGAAUAUGGGGGGACCAUCCUCCAAGGCUAAAUACUCCUGACUGACCGAUAGUGAACCAGUACCGUGAGGGAAAGGCGAAAAGAACCCCGGCGAGGGGAGUGAAAAAGAACCUGAAACCGUGUACGUACAAGCAGUGGGAGCNNGUGACUGCGUACCUUUUGUAUAAUGGGUCAGCGACUUAUAUUCUGUAGCAAGGUUAACCGAAUAGGGGAGCCGGAGGGAAACCGAGUCUUAAUUGGGCGUUAAGUUGCAGGGUAUAGACCCGAAACCCGGUGAUCUAGCCAUGGGCAGGUUGAAGGUUGGGUAACACUAACUGGAGGACCGAACCGACUAAUGUUGAAAAAUUAGCGGAUGACCUGUGGCUGGGGGUGAAAGGCCAAUCAAACCGGGAGAUAGCUGGUUCUCCCCGAAAGCUAUUUAGGUAGCGCCUCGUGAAUUCAUCUCCGGGGGUAGAGCACUGUUUCGGCUAGGGGGCCAUCCCGGCUUACCAACCCGAUGCAAACUGCGAAUACCGGAGAAUGUUAUCACGGGAGACACACGGCGGGUGCUAACGUCCGUCGUGAAGAGGGAAACAACCCAGACCGCCAGCUAAGGUCCCAAAGUCAUGGUUAAGUGGGAAACGAUGUGGGAAGGCCCAGACAGCCAGGAUGUUGGCUUAGAAGCAGCCAUCAUUUAAAGAAAGCGUAAUAGCUCACUGGUCGAGUCGGCCUGCGCGGAAGAUGUAACGGGGCUAAACCAUGCACCGAAGCUGCGGCAGCGACACUCAGGUGUUGUUGGGUAGGGGAGCGUUCUGUAAGCCUGUGAAGGUGGCCUGUGAGGGUUGCUGGAGGUAUCAGAAGUGCGAAUGCUGACAUAAGUAACGAUAAAGCGGGUGAAAAGCCCGCUCGCCGGAAGACCAAGGGUUCCUGUCCAACGUUAAUCGGGGCAGGGUGAGUCGACCCCUAAGGCGAGGCCGAAAGGCGUAGUCGAUGGGAAACGGGUUAAUAUUCCCGUACUUGGUGUUACUGCGAAGGGGGGACGGAGAAGGCUAUGUUGGCCGGGCGACGGUUGUCCCGGUUUAAGCGUGUAGGUGUGUGUUCCAGGUAAAUCCGGUUCACUUUAACACUGAGGCGUGACGACGAGGCACUACGGUGCUGAAGCAACAAAUGCCCUGCUUCCAGGAAAAGCCUCUAAGCAUCAGGUAACAUCAAAUCGUACCCCAAACCGACACAGGUGGUCAGGUAGAGAAUACCAAGGCGCUUGAGAGAACUCGGGUGAAGGAACUAGGCAAAAUGGUGCCGUAACUUCGGGAGAAGGCACGCUGACACGUAGGUGAAGUGAUUUACUCAUGGAGCUGAAGUCAGUCGAAGAUACCAGCUGGCUGCAACUGUUUAUUAAAAACACAGCACUGUGCAAACACGAAAGUGGACGUAUACGGUGUGACGCCUGCCCGGUGCCGGAAGGUUAAUUGAUGGGGUCAGCGCAAGCGAAGCUCCUGAUCGAAGCCCCGGUAAACGGCGGCCGUAACUAUAACGGUCCUAAGGUAGCGAAAUUCCUUGUCGGGUAAGUUCCGACCUGCACGAAUGGCGUAAUGAUGGCCAGGCUGUCUCCACCCGAGACUCAGUGAAAUUGAACUCGCUGUGAAGAUGCAGUGUACCCGCGGCAAGACGGAAAGACCCCGUGAACCUUUACUAUAGCUUGACACUGAACAUUGAGCCUUGAUGUGUAGGAUAGGUGGGAGGCUUUGAAGUGUGGACGCCAGUCUGCAUGGAGCCGACCUUGAAAUACCACCCUUUAAUGUUUGAUGUUCUAACGUGGACCCGUGAUCCGGGUUGCGGACAGUGUCUGGUGGGUAGUUUGACUGGGGCGGUCUCCUCCUAAAGAGUAACGGAGGAGCACGAAGGUUGGCUAAUCCUGGUCGGACAUCAGGAGGUUAGUGCAAUGGCAUAAGCCAGCUUGACUGCGAGCGUGACGGCGCGAGCAGGUGCGAAAGCAGGUCAUAGUGAUCCGGUGGUUCUGAAUGGAAGGGCCAUCGCUCAACGGAUAAAAGGUACUCCGGGGAUAACAGGCUGAUACCGCCCAAGAGUUCAUAUCGACGGCGGUGUUUGGCACCUCGAUGUCGGCUCAUCACAUCCUGGGGCUGAAGUAGGUCCCAAGGGUAUGGCUGUUCGCCAUUUAAAGUGGUACGCGAGCUGGGUUUAGAACGUCGUGAGACAGUUCGGUCCCUAUCUGCCGUGGGCGCUGGAGAACUGAGGGGGGCUGCUCCUAGUACGAGAGGACCGGAGUGGACGCAUCACUGGUGUUCGGGUUGUCAUGCCAAUGGCACUGCCCGGUAGCUAAAUGCGGAAGAGAUAAGUGCUGAAAGCAUCUAAGCACGAAACUUGCCCCGAGAUGAGUUCUCCCUGAGACUUAGAGUCUCCUGAAGGAACGUUGAAGACGACGACGUUGAUAGGCCGGGUGUGUAAGCGCAGCGAUGCGUUGAGCUAACCGGUACUAAUGAACCGUGAGGCUUAACCUUACAACGCCGAAG
rnacentral:rRNA from 1 species